rnacentral:lncRNA from 1 species
GAAGAUCUUGUUGAACUUGAUGAGAACAAUGAGGACCCGAUCACCUAUAUGGAUGCAAUGCAGAGGUCUGACUCUGAUAAAUGGCUUAAAGCUAUGAAAUUCAAAAUGAAAUCCAUGAAGGUCAAUGAUGUAUGGACAUUAGUUGACCCCGUGAAGAGAUUAAAUCCAUAGGGUGUAAGUGGGUCUUCAAAAAGAAGAAGGGCAC